rnacentral:rRNA from 1 species
AACGAACGUUAGCGGCGCGCCUAACACAUGCAAGUCGAGCGAGAAGGAAGCAAUUCCUGUAAAGCGGCGCACGGGUGAGUAACACGUAGGUAAUCUACCUCGAAGUGGUGGAUAACCUUCCGAAAGGAGGGCUAAUACAGCAUGAGACCACGGUUUCGAAAGAGAUUGAGGUCAAAGCGGGCCACUAUACAUAAGCUCGCGCUUCGAGAUGAGCCUGCGGCCCAUCAUGGUAGUUGGUAGGGUAAUGGCCUACCAAGCCGAAGACGGGUAGCUGGUCUGAGAGGAUGAUCAGCCACACUGGAACUGAGACACGGUCCAGACUCCUACGGGAGGCAGCAGUGGGGAAUCUUGCGCAAUGGGCGAAAGCCUGACGCAGCGACGCCGCGUGAGUGAUGAAGGCC